UACGAAGGGGGCUAGCGUUGCUCGGAUUGACUGGGCGUAAAGGGCGCGUAGGCGGUUCGUACAGUCAGACGUGAAAUUCCUGGGCUCAACCUGGGGGCUGCGUUUGAUACGUGCGGACUUGAGUGCGGAAGAGGGUCGUGGAAUUCCCAGUGUAGAGGUGAAAUUCGUAGAUAUUGGGAAGAACACCGGUGGCGAAGGCGGCGACCUGGUCCGAUACUGACGCUGAGGCGCGAAAGCGUGGGGAGCGAUCCGG
rnacentral:rRNA from 1 species